rnacentral:rRNA from 1 species
GACGAACGCUGGCGGCGUGCUUAACACAUGCAAGUCGAACGGAAAGGCCCUGCCUUUGUGGGGUGCUCGAGUGGCGAACGGGUGAGUAACACGUGAGUAACCUGCCCUUGACUUUGGGAUAACUUCAGGAAACUGGGGCUAAUACCGGAUAGGAGCUCCUGCUGCAUGGUGGGGGUUGGAAAGUUUCGGCGGUUGGGGAUGGACUCGCGGCUCAUCAGCUUGUUGGUGGGGUAGUGGCUUACCAAGGCUUUGACGGGUAGCCGGCCUGAGAGGGUGACCGGCCACAUUGGGACUGAGAUGCCGCCCAGCCUCCUACGGGAGGCAGCAGUGGGGAAUAUUGCACAGUGGGCGGAAGCCUGAUGCAGCAACGCCGCGUGCGGGAUGACGGCCCUCGGGUUGUAAACCGCUUUCGCCUGUGACGAAGCGUGAGUGACGGUAAUGGGUAAAAAAGCACCGGCUAACUACGUG